UUAUAUCUGAGUGCAUUAAGGUUUGGUGGGUUAUUGAUGGUAGUCGGUUGCAACAGGCCAUUUUGCAUAAAAUUUUUGAAGAUCUUCGAGAAAAAGUUAUUUGAAAUUGGAGAACCUCCUCGGUUACUAGACAAUACUCACAUCAAAAGUUUUGCUCCCUCCAGUCUGAUAGUUCGCUCUUCUAACAAUUUAGGCAUUCUUUC
rnacentral:lncRNA from 1 species